rnacentral:rRNA from 1 species
CACGCAUGACACACUGCAUAUCAAUAAGCGGAGGAAAAGAAACUAACAAGGAUUCCCUUAGUAACGGCGAGUGAAGCGGGAAGAGCUUAAAUUUGAAAUCUUCAAGGUUUUACCUUGACGAAUUGUAGUUUAAAGAAGUGUUUUCUGUUGGAGUUUUGGUAAAAGUUCUUUGGAAUAGGACAUCAUAGAGGGUGAGAAUCCCGUAUUUGACCAUUAUUUUCUAGCUUUGUGAUACACUUUCAAAGAGUCGGAUUGUUUGGGAAUGCAGUCCAAAAUGGGUGGUAAAUUUCAUCUAAAGCUAAAUAUUGGCGAGAGACCGAUAGCGAACAAGUACCGUGAGGGAAAGAUGAAAAGAACUUUGAAAAGAGAGUUAAACAGUACGUGAAAUUGUCAAAAGGGAAGCGUUUGACACCAGUGUUGUUUUCUCGAAAAUCAAUUAAAAAGAGUUGGAUUUUGUGUUGUAUUGACCUUAACAGCUUUCUUCACUCUUUUCCUGCUUUUUUUAAUGCACUUUUCGUUUAACAAGUCAACAUCAGUUUCUUUUGUUGUAAAAAGGUCAUUGGAAGGUGGCUUUCUUUUCGGAGAAAGUGUUUAUAGCCUUUGAUCCCUGCAAUCGGAGAGACUGAGGUCUGCAGCGUAGAUCCUUCGGGGUUAGAUACAUUUGUGCUAAGUUAUAGCUUUUUAUAGACAACUUGUUGACUAUAUUUAGUCUUGUAGCUUACUCGCUUAUGCUAUUUUACCUACGCUUAGGAUGUUGAGCGCAUGUCUCUCUCU